rnacentral:tRNA from 1 species
AGUCCUGUAGUGUAGCAGCAUAUCAGAUUGCAAACCUGAGGGCGCAAGCUAGCGCUUGCCGGGACUU